AUUUAAAUAAUUUAAAAAAAAUAUUGAUUUGUGGGGUCAAAAAUAUGAGUAAGUUCAUUUUAAGUU
rnacentral:tRNA from 1 species